UCUGUUCGUCCACACACAGUUCCAAUUUUAUUAUCUUGUUUACACUUUCUUGGCGACAUGAAGCCCACGGUACACAGUGUACACGGUACAUACAGUAUCCACGAUAGACACAGUGUACACCUGGUACACACAGUCUACACACCGCUGGGCGCUUCACCGAAGGCGACAAGAUUAGAUACUUCCACUCUCAUGUCCGCCAUUGCCGUCUGCUUCUCUAUAGUUUUCGCUAGAGUGAUCUCCCUUUCCUCACUGCCACUCUCACUCAUCAACACAUGUUAUUUACCAUUGUCAUUUACAAACAGCGAAGGGAUUAAACUAACCUUUAAACAUGGAGGCAUGGACUGAUCUGUGACAGCUGAGCACUCACCUGGCCUCUCGCUACGUCCGUCAAGCUUCAUUCUUCCCCAUUUCUUCUUCGCAGGGGCUGUGAUCGGGGAGGUAAACAUGUCCACCACUAUCCCAGGCUUCCGUUGAAGAACUUCAGAAUAGGGCCAGGUAUCGUGACGGCUGUAGACUUCGGUUUGUCAUAUCCACUGUCUGAAAGAAAUAGAAGCGAGUCGCUCCGUGUGUGUGUGUGCAAAGCCACAUGGGUUGGAGAUUAAGUCACGUGAGCAAGGGGUCAAUCAGAAAGCUCAGGUAAGGUCCCUACAUAACAGGACAAGACAGGAAACUACAGGAAUCGUCCAGACUCUAGAGUGUGGAGAGACACGUGAUGACCACAACAGCGACGUUGUGUGAAGGCUGCACGUGCCCUCACUCUACAGACUUGUGGGAUACAACAACACUUUGUCUACAGGACGAGUGGUCAGGAAACUACAACCGGACAAACAUCUUCACAGACACUAGCAUGACAGUCACGUGAUUACUGGCCCGUAACCACUCGUCCUCACUGAUGUCUGUAACUUAUUUAGAAACUGGAUAUUAGGCUACAGGAACUAGAGAACACAAUCAGCUACUGUUCAUGUUUAUCUUUCUCUCUGUAUGUGGAGGUGGUUGCCUACACACAUUUUUUGAAGACUCGGCUACACAGCUAAGAAUAAUCCGGGUACAUCACAGUCCUUGUCUUGUUCUCGUCGUUUUAUUACGGGUACAUUGUACUGAGCUGCUUGCUUUACACACACAAUUGUAUUUAGCUCUUAGCUGUUAAUACACAAGGUCCUUAGUUUAUUUUUGUUUAUUCCUUGUUACUCCUCGGGGAGCAUAGGACCACAACAAGACCUCGCCAGUCUUCUGUUUCUGGGAUGUUCUCUCAAUUUAUGCCUGGUGCGAAGACGGUCUUUAAGAACAUGUCUGACAUGAUACAAUGGCGACAUUAUCGCAAGUUUUGAGAGCUGACCCCAAGUGGAACACAACCAGCGCAGUCCUGAACGUUCCUUGUACUGACCACCAGCAGACUAUCAGUGGGUGAACUCUGAUUACAAGUCCUCUGUGGCUUGAAGACAAGUGCUAAAGACGAAGUAGAACACAAGGAAGAAGAGGGGCAGAGAAAGGACCAAGGAGCCAGGGGACAGUUUCAGUGUCCAGUCACCUGACACUGGGGCCGUGUAUACAGGUUAGUCUCACACUGUAAGUACUGCUUCAGUCACUUUGUAAAGUGAAGUUUUGUCUGAUAUUGUUCCUAAAAUACUGCCAAAGAUUAAUUCUGUAUAAGGACAAGACACGGGAAGUAAGUCUUAGUGAGGUAAGGUGUGAACUGAACAUCUAGAGUUUGCUGUGAAAUCCAAAAGUAAAUCCUCAUUAUUGAACUAUACAUAAGUAAUGAUGUAAGGAAACUGUCUUCUUAGCCCUAUAACAAUUACCAAUAGAAAUAAAGCAGAUAGCAACUGACAUAUUCGGCUACUGAAACUGGGUCCGUGGGUUACUGAGUGAAAUACUGUGAAGUGACUUACAGUUUCU